CUUGAGUGAUCGCUUAGGAAUGAAUGUGAUUUGAACUCAUUCAUGUUGAGAGGGUGUCAAAUUGAGAACCAGGUAGAUCCCCACCACCUACAGUAAAAAGGACCCUAAAGUAAAUUGGUUGAAGAAAUUAGAUCCCAAAGAUUCUUGGUGAAUUUUGAAGUCUUCAUCAGUAUAUCCAUAUUAAAACGAGAUGACAGAAGCCAAAGUAAUUAUGGGCAAACUUGAAGAUAAAUCUUUUGACUCCAGCUCUUUAGAGGAUCUAAAGUGACCUUGAUGGACAGUGGAAGAAAUCACAACAUGGAAUUCCUCGAAUAACAAUUUAUUGACUUUAAAUAAUUUUGUCUAAUGCUACAUAUACACAAUUAAAAAACCUUUACACUAUUUCUAGAAAGUCAGCAUGUAUUUUUGGCUCGAAGUUUCUCUAGUGUUUUCUGUGGAAGGAAUAAAAAUUUGAGUUUC
rnacentral:lncRNA from 1 species